UUUAUACCCCACCGUUCUUUGCACAUCAGUUCUUUCUCCUUUCUUCAACAUUCUAUCCAGAAUGUUGGGCAUAAGAGUUGCUAAAUAUAAAAAGCGACAUGACUGAAAGCACCUCAAAAUGCAAGAAAUAACAAGUAACCACCUUCGUUGAGCACAAGUUCUAUGGAUCCGGUUCAGCCAACAUCUAGAAUUCAGGAGAAUGUUGUUGUUGGCGGCUCUUGCUUUAUUUCCAGAAAAGAAUAUAGUAAGGAAAAACAUGCGUUGAAUCCUUCCAAUCGAGUGGAAAAAUGAUUCCUCAAAGUUACAAAUCAAGGUGAAACAUAGAGAAGGCUUGACCAAUUACCUAGGGGAUGCGGAGAGAUCACAUAAAGAAGAGAGAUCGGCCAGAAAAUGUGCAACUACUCCAAAAGUAGAAGAGACACAAAUGCUUUCCUGUAGCAGAUGGAAAUAUUGUUAUAGAAUGCAUUUUACAAAGCCAGAAUUCAAUUGAUCGAGUUGAGAGGAAAUUUAAAAAGCUUAUACUAAAUUGUAUCGCAUCUCUACUUGUAUGUGGAAUAAUCAUAAAUAUAAGAUACAACACAAUUAUUAAUGAUUA